rnacentral:rRNA from 1 species
AUUGAACGCUAGCGGGAUGCUUUACACAUGCAAGUCGAACGAGUGGCGGACGGGUGAGUAAUAUAUAGGAACGUGCCCAGUAGCGGGGGAUAACUACUCGAAAGAGUGGCUAAUACCGCAUACUCUUGGAGCGGCCGCUAGCGGAUUAGCUAUUGGGUGGGGUAAAGGCGCACCAAGGCCAGGAUCCGUAGCUGGUUUGAGAGGACGACCAGCCACACUUGGACUGAGACACGGCCCAGACGCCUACGGGAGGCAGCAGUGGGGAAUUUUGGACAAUGGGUGAAACCCUGAUCCAGCCAUCCCGCGUGUAUGAGAAGGCCUUCGGGUUGUAAAGUACUUUUGGCAGAGAAGCGGUAUCUGCAGAAUAAGCACCGGCUAACUACGUGCCAGCAGCCGCGGUAAUUC